rnacentral:SRP_RNA from 13 species
CAACCCAGCCAGGACAUGAAAGCAGCAGCAAAAAG